rnacentral:lncRNA from 1 species
CCUUGAGGGGGCUUGCAGCUGUCCAGCUCUUCUGCUUGGGCCAUGGUCGCUUAGCAUUUCUAUUCAGCACUUUAGGCGCCGGAACCACUGAGCUAAAUCCCUGGCCCCUAUUCAGCACUUUUGAAUGCGCUGCAGACUUGGCAACCUGUCACCCGCUGAGAUUGACUGGAAGUGAAGAAGUUAAAUGAGGCUCUAAAGAGGUGUAGGAACAGAGGUCCAGGAGGAUCAUCCAAAGUGCCCAACUUGUUGAAUGGGGUUCAGAUCUGUGCUAACCAGGAGACCUCUGGUCUGGAGGCUGAGAAGUUCAAGAUCAAUGUGCUGCAGAGUCCGGUGAGGCAGCUCUUGGCUUGAAAGAUGGCACCUUGCUGGCACCUCCUCCAGAGGGAACGAAUGCUACAUCUUCACAUGGCGGAAGGAGUUGAUAAAUGUGAGCACCAGAUAAACAUGAUGCCUGGGCUUAUUAUUGAAGAACGGCAACCCUGCGUGAAGUGGCAGUUCUGUGCCAGUCUGCAGCCCUGGAUGGCUUUGCGUUGCUUAAGGAUAAACAGGGAUCGAACUUGGGUCCUUCCACUUGCGAGGCAGGUGGCAGAACCACCGAGGUAAUCUUUAACUCUUUUAAAGCCUGUAUUUCAGAGUCAGUAAGAACAUUCACACUGUUGUACAGCUGUCAUCACCACCAUCUCCAGAACGUUCAUCAUCCCCAAUGAAACUCUGUCCCCGAUAAACAACCCCUCCACUCUCCUUUCUCCAUCUCCAGCCCUGCUACGCCCUAUUCUGUUUUCUGCU